rnacentral:rRNA from 1 species
UACAGAGGGUGCAAGCGUUAAUCGGAAUUACUGGGCGUAAAGCGCACGUAGGCGGUUUUUUAAGUCAGAUGUGAAAGCCCCGGGCUCAACCUGGGAAUUGCAUUUGAAACUGGGAAACUAGAGUGUGUGAGAGGGGGGUAGAAUUCCAAGUGUAGCGGUGAAAUGCGUAGAGAUUUGGAGGAAUACCAGUGGUGAAGGCGGCCCCCUGGCACAACACUGACGCUCAGGUGCGAAAGCGUGGGGAGCAAACAGG